rnacentral:sRNA from 1 species
CUCUUUUCUGUGGGGUUACCUUUGGGUUAUCUUCUCUAUUAAGUGUGGAUCCCUGAAAAAUGGCAUACCCUGGUGGUUUUUCUAGACCCUGCUGAAAUCCUUUGAAGAUUUUACCAAAUGUUGCAAGAACUCUGGAGUUCUUAUGGUAGUAAAAUGCCGGAAAGAAAAUUCUGCAUUGAAAGAAUGUCUAACUGCUUACUCCUCCUUUGGCCUGCACCUUCCAUCAUUUUUUGCCUGGAUUAUUUUAACAGUUUAUUGGCUGUCUUGCCUCUAACCUUGCUUGCCUCCUUUUGUCCUAUCUGCCACAUGUUGUCAGAUUCAUCCAAGACACAAAACUGAUCUUACAGCUAUAAUGAUCCAGCCUUUUAUGAAGAAUGCAAAAUGGAAUACCUGAAGGAAAGGGAAGAAUUCAGAAAAACUGGAAUUCCUGCAAAGAAAAGGCUACAGAAGCUUCCAACAAGCAUGUAGGCAGAUACUCAAAUGACAUUCAGGAACUCUAAUAUUCAUGGAAGUCAUUUUAUAGUCCUUAAAUAAUGGACUCAAGCAUGUAUAUUUGCUUUACCUUCACUAUGGAAAUAUUAUCUGAAAUAAAUAUUUUAUUUC